rnacentral:rRNA from 1 species
UACAGAGGUCCCGAGCGUUGUUCGGAUUCACUGGGCGUAAAGGGUGCGUAGGUGGCAUAGAAAGUUUGAUGUGAAAGCUCAGGGCUUAACCCUGAAAUGGCAUUGAAUACUGCUGUGCUGGAGGUUUGGAGGGGGGGACUGGAAUUCUUGGUGUAGCAGUGAAAUGCGUAGAUAUCAAGAGGAACACCAGUGGCGAAGGCGAGUCCCUGGACAACACCUGACACUGAGGCACGAAAGCUAGGGGGAGCAAACAGG